GGUGACGGACGCUUGGGAGCGGACUGCAAAACCCCAAUCGUGGGUUCGAUUCCCACCGUCGCCU
rnacentral:tRNA from 1 species